GGGGGCCCGCAAGCGGUGGAGCAUGUGGUUCAAUUCGACGCAACGCGAAGAACCUUACCUGGGCUCGAAAUGGAGUGGAAUGGGGUGGAAACAUCCCCGCCCGCAAGGGCCGCUCUAUAGGUGCUGCAUGGCUGUCGUCAGCUCGUGUCGUGAGAUGUUGGGUUAAGUCCCGCAACGAGCGCAACCCUUAUCGUUAGUUGCCACCGGGUCAGGCCGGGCACUCUAGCGAAACCGCCUCGGAUAACGGGGAGGAAGGUGGGGAUGACGUCAAGUCCUCAUGGCCUUUAUGUCCAGGGCUACACACGUGCUACAAUGGUCGGUACAAACCGUCGCAAACCCGUGAGGGGGAGCUAAUCGGAAAAAGCCGACCUCAGUUCGGAUUGGAGUCUGCAACUCGACUCCAUGAAGCUGGAAUCGCUAGUAAUCGCAGAUCAGAACGCUGCGGUGAAUACGUUCCCGGGCCUUGUACACACC
rnacentral:rRNA from 1 species